GCGACAAGAGACAGAUGGUGUUGUGAAGGAAUGGCUGUCGAAGCUCAAAGACGCAGCUUAUGAUACUGAGGAUUUAUUGGAUGAGCUCGCAUCAGAAAUCAUACUGUGUGAGGGGAGAAGUAGCAUUCGAGAUCAGCUCAAUUAGCAAUAGAGAGACUAUCUCUUUAGUGAUUGAAUCUGAGGUGUAUGGAAGAAGGGAAGAUAAAGAAAAGAUUAUAGAGCUUCUGCAAACCACCAGCAAUGGGGAAAACAUAGGAGCUGAUGUUCCAAUCAUUUCAAUUGUUGGAAUAGGAGGCCUAGGCAAGACAACAUUAGCUCAAUUGGUCUACGGUAAUGUUGAUUCGAUGGGUUGCUUUGAUAUGAAAAUAUGGGUGUAUGUGUCUAAUGAUUUUGAUAUUAAAAAGAUUAUUACAGCCAUUAUAGAGUCUGCAACCCUGAGGAAAUGUGAAUUUACAAAUUUGGAGAUACUUUAUCGUCAGCUGCGGGAAUCUUUAUGCGGGAAGAGGUAUCUACUGGUUUUGGAUGAUAUAUGGAAUGAAGAUCAAUAUAAAUGGCAAAGAUUUCGAACUUUACUAAAAGGUGGUGUGAAAGGAAGCAAGAUAAUAGUCACCACUCGAAGUGACAAAGUUGCAUCAAUAGUAGGAACUUCCUCAUAUCAUCUCAAGGGCUUGGCUGAGGAUGAUUCUUGGGCUUUGUUUAAGCAGCACGCUUUUGGUCUGGGAGAAGAGGAAGGUCAUCCUAAUUUGUUGCCAAUUGGAAAACAAAUUGUUAAGAAAUGUGGAGGCGUGCCACUAGCAGCACGGACUCUGGGAAGUUUAUUGCGCUUCAGAAGAGAGGAGAAUUACUGGUUGUAUGUGAAAGAGAGUGAACUUUGCGAAAUGGAUGACGGCCAAAGUGGAAUUUUGCCGACCCUAAGAUUGAGUUAUAGUCUGUUGCGACCACAUCUCAAACGAUGCUUUGCAUACUGUUCACUGUUUCCGAAAAGUUAUGAGUUCAAGAAGGAGAAGUUAAUCCAUCUUUGGAUGGCAGAAGGCUUGAUUAUAGCAAAUAAAGAGCGUAGGCCGUUAGAAGACAUUGGAAAUGAUUAUUUUAAUGAACUAUUGUGCUUGUCCUUCUUUCAGGAAGUUAACGAAAGUAUAGAUGACGGCAUGAAAGUUUACAGAAUGCAUGAUCUCAUUCGUGAUCUUGCCCAAUCUGUUGCUGGGAAUGAAUUCUUAAAACUAGAGCAUGCCCCUACUCCAAGUAAUCUUGCAAAAACUCGUCACUCAUCAAUACUUUCCAAUUUUCAACCAUCUAUAGUCCCACCAGCCUUGCUGACAGCAAAACGCCUCAGAACCUUGCUUUUGUUGUCUCCUGGAGUCGGCUCUGGGGAGGUUCCUUCUUUUUCACCCACUGAUUUCAUGUACUUGAGGGUGCUAGAUCUAAGUUGUUGAGGAAUCAAAAGAUUGCAGACAUUGAUAGGGAAUUUGAUCCAUUUGAGAUACCUUGACCUCUCCAAUACUUCAAUUCAAGAACUCCCUGACACAAUCUGUGACCUCUUGAAUUUGCAGACGCUGAACCUCUCAGGUUGCUUCCAACUUCUGAAGCUGCCUGAUAGCAUGGGAAAGUUGAUCAACCUAAGACACCUUAAUAUAUCUGGAUGUGUAAGAUUGACCCAUAUGCCAACCGGGAUUGGAAAGUUGGUUCACAUUCAGACAUGGCCAAUAUACAUUGUGGGCAAGGGAAAUGGGGAAAGCAUUGCAGAACUCAGCUGUCUAAACCUAAGGGGUGAACUUAACAUUAAAUGCUUGGAGAAUGUGAGAGAUGCAGAAGAAGCAAAGAGUGCUAAUUUGAAAGAGAAGCACCUUCACGUUUUGGGGUUAUUUUGGGGAGAUGAUAAUGGGAACAUGGGAUUGGAAAAUGACACUGAAAGCCUACACUCAACAGGAUCGUCACUUGGAGAUGACAGUGAUGCUCGUUCAAGAGAAGUGGAAGAUAUUCUAGAAUGCCUUGAACCACAUCCAAAUCUAAAAAAGCUUUUCAUCAAAGGGUAUCCGGGCAUCAGGUUUCCGAAUUGGCUACUUCCAAGUUUGACUGGGGUUGUACUGACGAAUUUCAAAAGAUGUAAAGCUUUACCCACCCUUGGGCAGCUUCCAUUUCUUAAGAAUCUAUACCUGCAAGCAAUGGAAGGCAUUGAGUGCAUUGGCCAAGACUUCUAUGGCAGAGACAUCCAGGCGCCAUUCCCUUCUCUCAAAGAACUAACCCUCAGAGAUUUUCCUAAGUUGAAAGAAUGGUGUGGCAGUAAUGGCAAACAAGUACUUCCUUGCCUGGAAAAACUGACUGUAAAUAAAUGUCCAAACCUGACUUCAGCGCCAGUCCUUCCAUCUCUUCAACAAUUGGAGUUGCAAUGUUGCCAUCCAUUGCUCAUAAAAUCCAUGGAAAAUCUAACCUCACUCUCCAUUCUUGUGAUUGAUAAUUUCCCUCAAUUGUCACUCUUAUCAGGAGACCUGUUAAAAAACAAUAUUCUUCUCACCUCUUUGAAGAUUAGCUCAUGCCCUAAUCUUUCUUUGCUGCCUUUGGAAAUAGAGAAUCUCACUGCUCUAAAAUCACUGACCAUAUGUUGGUGUGAGGAGCUUGAAUCUUUGCCACAAGGAUUGCAAAACCUUAAAUCACUGGAGUCUUUGGAAAUCUAUGAAUGCCAUAAGAUUACCUCUUUGCCAGAGGAUGGUAUUCAAGGUUUGAGCUCCCUAAGAACUUUGUCCAUUGAGAACUGUGAUAAUCUGUCUUCUUUAUCAACCGGACUGCAAUACCUCAGUGCACUUGAGCACUUGACCAUUAUGUACUGCCCAGAAUUAACUUCUCUGCCAGAUGAUUUGCGCAACCUGUCAGCCCUUCGAAGUUUGAGCAUUUUGGAUUGUCCUAGUCUGGUUUGUCUGCCAGAGGGGCUACCUCAUGUUAAUACAUUGCAAACUUUGGAAAUUCGUGGCUGUCCUCUCCUUACAGAUUUUACUGAAUGGGUUCACAAUUUUUCUUCACUGAGAUCAUUGUCAAUUUCAGAUUGCAAUAAUUUGACUUCGCUUCCAGAAGGAUUGCUAUUUUGCAAUACACUCCAGCACCUGUCCAUUCAAGAGUGCCCUAAUCUGGAGGAGUGGUGGAAGCAUAAGAGAAGAAUGGACGGGCAGAAGAUGGCUAACAUCUCGCAUAUCUACAUUGGGUCACCAGAAUUCAGGAAAUAACUUAAGAGCAGGCAACUAUUCAGGUUAAACAAGAACUUUCUUUGUUAUGCAACAUGUACUCACCGUUUCUGCUAUGUCAUUAAUGUUUUGAUUUCUGGACA